GCAUUGGUGGUGUAGGUGUGGAAUUCUUGCCUGCAAUGCAGGAGGUUGGGCUCGAUUCCCAGCCAAUGCA